rnacentral:lncRNA from 1 species
UAGAAACAGAACUAAGAUUUGUCCUCAAGUUCUUAAAUCAGUGUACAAAAGUCCAUUGAAACCAUAAUGGACCUAAACUAUAUUGGUAUAAGUUCUUUGCCCAUAGGGCAGGGAUUGCUGUGGUAUAGACAUCAAAGUAAUGAGAAUAUCAAAUCAAGUAAAGAGAAAGAAGAAAAGGAGGAAGAGAAAAAGAAGCAAGUAAAGGAGGAAGAGAAAGACAAGGGUCCCUUUCCAACAGUUCCUAGUCAUGCUACAGCACAACAAGGAUGUUCUGCAAUAGAAACAAAUCAAGACAUUUCACAAGCAUCAAUGAAGUCUGUCAGAAGGUGUAUGCACAAUUCAUUGAUCUGUCCUCUAAUUUGUUGAUUUAAACCACUUAACUGUUUUGGCUGUAUCCCAUUAAUUUUUCUGUGUUGUUUCAUUGUUGUCAUUUUCUUCAAUGAAUUAUGAUUUGAUUUCUAUGAUUUGAUAUUUGACCCACUUAUUCCUUAGAAUUAGAUUAUCUAGUUUCCAAUUAAUUUUUAUCUAUUUUUCUCUGGCUCUUUAUGGAACAUUAUUUUGUUGCAGUGUGAUCUGAAAAAAAUGUUCAUAAUAUUUCUGUUUUCUGCAUUUGAUUUAGAGGUUUUUAUUCUCUACUACAUAGUUAUGAUAAUUAAUCUUGUAAUUACUUCCAUCUUUUAUCCUACUUAUUCUUUUCUUUCUCUCUACUACCACUCUGGUCCUCCCAUAAGUGGUUUACUUUUAAGAAACAUCUCCCCAAAUCAGUCUUCUUUUCUAUCAUUUUUCUAUCUCUUCCUCUUAAAACCCAAUCUCUUUUUAUUUCCUUAUAGGGUAAGGUAGAUUUUAAAAAAUCAAUGAGUGUGUAUGUUAUUCUUUCUUUGAACCAAAUCUGAAAAGAAUAAGGUUUGUGUUUCCCUCCAUUCCCCCACCCCCAUCUUCCCCUCCAUUGUAAUACCUUUCAUGCCUCUUUUAUUUCAGAUAAUUCACCCCACCUAUUUUUCUUUUCCCUAUUCUCCCAAUGCAUUCCUUUCUCAUCUCUUAAUUUUGAUUUUAUUUCUUGAUGGAUCAUGGAAUCAUUAGCUUCCAUUUGUCCAAUUCUAAUUAUUAAUUUUAAUUUUUUCUAAAUGUCAUUUUUCAAUAAGUUUCUAU